UAUCAUAAUCAUCAUCCUCUGAGAUAUGAUAAAAUUUGAAUAGAAGAUUUUCAUACAAUUCUCCAACACAUUUGGGCUUGCAACCCAUAUAGAAAGUGAGCCUCUCCAUGGAAGACAAAAUGCAAAACUUUUGCACUGGGUUGGGGUUUCUAUGCAUUGGAUUGCAGAAGACAUGUGUCGUCAAGUAUGACUAGAGGAGAAAUCUCGAGCAAACAUCGUCGUACUUGUUAGAUAUGUGAUCUAUUCAUUUAUUUCUUUUCAUUUGGUUUAGCGUAUAUGUUUCUCCCUUCAAAUACAAAUCUUCUGUUUCAGAGGUAUGUUUCUCAUAAAAUGUUAAACACUCGAUGAGACAUGUGGACUGUCAAGGGCCAAGCGCUGAAACGAAUGGUGUAUCGAACCGCAUGGGUUUGACAAAAUGGAAUAGAAGAUUGUACAUUUGCUCAAAAAGGCUUAGAUAUCAACUUCAAAGAAAGACAGCCCAUCACAUGAAGUAGUGAUUCAACAUAAGAACGGGUGGAGUUGCCUAAGGAAGUUAUAUUAUCAGGAUAUAUAAAAGGCUUGUGCGUCUCAACUGGAUCAGGAUCAUGGUCUGGAGACCAUUGGAGAGUUGAUAGAACUGCUAAGCUCAAAGACAGUGGUAAUAAGGAAAAGAAAUUGGAAGGGCUAACAUCGAAAUUGAGAUCUCCUGAUCUACCAUGUUGAUGCACCGAACGCUAGAAUAGCAAGUUGAAGCACAUUGGCGUACCGGAUAGUCUUGUGAUAUGCGUAUACAUUGCUCCAACUUCGUAGGCUAUAACCCAAAGAAAGUGAGCCUCCGAGGAUAGGUACAUACAACCCAAAGAUUGUUUUACAAGUCUGCAAACUCAUUUGGGCUUACAACACAAAGACAAAGUGAAGCCUCGCCAUGGAAGGAUUAGGCUCCCAUAACUGCUGACUUCUGCGGCGUUCUUGGUGUCUACGUCAGAUUCUAACUCAGACCACCAAACGUUCAACAGAUGAAGAAUGGUGUUUUACUUCAUGGACACGCCAAAGGAGCAGCAACAUCGCAACAAACCACCAUCACUAGCAUUGUCGCAUCAUAUCAUCGUCAGUGGCAUCGACAAUCACCUCGUAUCAAAAUCAUCACCAUAUGCGUUUCACAUAUCCAAAUCAUCGUCAGUAGAUUCUAUGUUGUGGUUCAUUACUUACUGUUCCGUAGGGUUGCAAAAGAGAUUUGAUAAUAAAUGGUCAGUGAAUUCGUGACGUGAUGGGAUGGUUUUGCUCGAGGUGUUCAUGUUAUUACAUAUGUUAUAACGCUACGCAAUGGUUGAUUAUAAUUAAGCCGAUGGAGAUGAA